rnacentral:rRNA from 1 species
ACGCUGACAGAAUGCUUAACACAUGCAAGUCUUUGGCGAAGCUGUGCUUGCACAGCCUAGCCAAGGCGGACGGGUGAGUAACGCGUAAGGAACUUGCCCUGCAGUCAGGGAUAACAGACGGAAACGACUGAUAAGACCUGGUAAAGUCAGGCGGACUCAUGUCCAGCCUGAUGAAAAGAGAUGCUGCAGGAGAGCCUUGCCUCCUAUUAGCUUGUUGGUGGGGUAACGGCCCACCAAGGCGAUGAUAGGUAGCCGGCCUGAGAGGGUGGACGGCCACAAGGGGACUGAGAUACGGCCCUUACUCCUACGGGAGGCAGCAGUGGGGAAUAUUGGACAAUGGGGGCAACCCUGAUCCAGCAAUUCUGUGUGCACGAUGAAGGUUUUCGGAUUGUAAAGUGCUUUCAGCAGGGAAGAAAAAAAUGACGGUACCUGCAGAAGAAGCGACGGCUAAAUACGUGCUAGCAGCCGCGGUAAUACGUAUGUCGCAAGCGUUAUCCGGAAUUAUUGGGCAUAAAGGGCAACUAGGCGGCCAGAUAAGUCUGGGGUGAAAACUUGCGGCUCAACCGCAAGCCUGCCCUGGAAACUAUGUGGCUAGAGUACUGGAGAGGUGGACGGAACUGCACGAGUAGAGGUGAAAUUCGUAGAUAUGUGCAGGAAUGCCGAUGAUGAAGAUAGUUCACUGGACGGUAACUGACGCUGAAGUGCGAAAGCUAGGGGAGCAAACAGGAUUAGAUACCCUGGUAGUCCUAGCUGUAAACGAUGAUUACUGGGUGUGGGCAUGAAGAGUGUCCGUGCCGAAGCUAAUGCGAUAAGUAAUCCGCCUGGGGAGUACGGCCGCAAGGCUGAAACUCAAAGGAAUUGACGGGGACCCGCACAAGCGGUGGAGCAUGUGGUUUAAUUCGACGC